GACGAACGCUGGCGGCGUGCUUAACACAUGCAAGUCGAACGGAAAGACCCUGCUUUUGUGGGGUGCUCGAGUGGCGAACGGGUGAGUAACACGUGAGUAACCUGCCCUUGACUUUGGGAUAACUUCAGGAAACUGGGGCUAAUACCGGAUAGGAGCUCCUGCUGCAUGGUGGGGGUUGGAAAGUUUCGGCGGUUGGGGAUGGACUCGCGGCUUAUCAGCUUGUUGGUGGGGUAGUGGCUUACCAAGGCUUUGACGGGUAGCCGGCCUGAGAGGGUGACCGGCCACAUUGGGACUGAGAUACGGCCCAGACUCCUACGGGAGGCAGCAGUGGGGAAUAUUGCACAAUGGGCGGAAGCCUGAUGCAGCAACGCCGCGUGCGGGAUGACGUCCUUCGGGUUGUAAACCGCUUUCGCCUGUGACGAAGCGUGAGUGACGGUAAUGGGUAAAGAAGCACCGGCUAACUACGUG
rnacentral:rRNA from 1 species